UACCCUCAUGUGUCUGGAGCUGCGAGCGCGAGGUGUGUAUGCUUCACGAGCCUGAGAGACUUCUGCUAACGGACAUAAUCAACACUGUCUUCACGUUGCCUUUCCCCGAGAAGCCCUCUGCUGAAUUGCAUGCCUGAUUGGCUCAGACUUAUUUCUGCAUGGACUUUUAACUUUCUCUUAGCCGAAGUGAGGACUGCAACAGAAAGCCGAGGCCUUUAAGGAAUAGUAGACUCAAACAACAGUGGUCAAGAUGUUGAUCACAAUGCUAACGGCCAUGUAUGUGAUGGUGAAAGUUGUAGAAUCGAUUGGGGUCCGAUUUGCACAGAAAGACGAACCUUUGCCUUACAUGGUAUCUCAGCCUUUGCCCUGGCAGGUUCACUCUGUGUCUCACAGCAGGAGGAGCAGCAAAGCAGAAGAGUUUGAUGGCUACAGGAGGAACAGCAUAGGCG